rnacentral:rRNA from 1 species
GACGAACGCUGGCGGCGUGCUUAACACAUGCAAGUCGAACGGAAAGGCCCUGCUUUUGUGGGGUGCUCGAGUGGCGAACGGGUGAGUAACACGUGAGUAACCUGCCCUUGACUUUGGGAUAACUUCAGGAAACUGGGGCUAAUACCGGAUAGGAGCUCCUGCUGCAUGGUGGGGGUUGGAAAGUUUCGGCGGUUGGGGAUGGACUCGCGGCUUAUCAGCUUGUUGGUGGGGUAGUGGCUUACCAAGGCUUUGACGGGUAGCCGGCCUGAGAGGGUGACCGGCCACAUUGGGACUGAGAUACGGCCCAGACUCCUACGGGAGGCAGCAGUGGGGAAUAUUGCACAAUGGGCGGAAGCCUGAUGCAGCAACGCCGCGUGCGGGAUGACGGCCUUCGGGGUGUAAACCGCUUUCGCCGGUGACGAAGCGUGAGUGACGGUAAUGGGUAAAGAAGCACCGGCUAACUACGUG